rnacentral:rRNA from 1 species
UGUGUUGCUUGCAAGGGCGUAUGGUGGAUGCCUUGGCAGACAGGACCGAUGAAGGACGUUUGAGGCUGCGAUAUGCCUCGGGGAGCCGCCAACAGGGCUUUGAUCCGAGGAUUUCCGAAUGGGGGAACCCACCGACCGUCAUGGGUCGGUACCGGCUUCGGCCGGGGGGUACGCAGGGAAGUGAAACAUCUCAGUACCUGCAGGAAAGGAUAUUCCGUGAGUAGUGGCGAGCGAAAGCGGAUGAUGGCCAAACCUUGCGCGUGUGAUACCCGUCGGGGGUUGCGCGCGGGGUGUUGCGGGAUCGCGUGUGCCGGCUCCGACGGGCCGGCCGGCAGUUGCAGAAAACCAUGUGUCAGGGGAACCGGGUUGAAUACCGGGCCGCAGAGGGUGAGGGCCCCGUACCUGAACGCGCAUGGUCUGCCGAUCGCGUCUCCCAAGUAGCACGGGUCCCGUGGAACCCCGUGCGAAUCCGCCCAGACCGUUGGGUAAGCCUGAAUAUUCCUGUCUGACCGAUAGCGAACGAGUACCGUGAGGGAAAGGUGAAAAGUACCCCGGGAGGGGAGUGAAACAGUCUCUGAAACCGUGCGCCUACAAUCCGUCGGAGCCCUUUUGUGGGGUGACGGCGUGCCUAUCGAAAAAUGAGUCUGCGAGUCAGUGGCAUGUGGCGAGCAUAACCCGUGUGGGGUAUGCGUAGCGAAGGCGAGUCUUAAAAGGCGUUUGAGUCGCGUGUCCUGGACCCGAAGCGGGAUGAUCUAGCCCUGAGCAGGUUGAAGCGCGGGUAAGACCGCGUGGAGGACCGAACCCACCUGGGUUGAAAACCGGGGGGAUGACUUGGGGCUAGGGGUGAAAGGCCAAUCAAAUUCCGUGAUAGCUGGUUCUCUCCGAAAUGCAUUUGGGUGCAGCGUCGGGUCAUUACGUCCCGGGGGUAGAGCUACUGGAUGCUUGCGGGCCCGUAUCGGGUACCAACAGCAACCAAACUCCGAAUACCGGUGACGCGUAUCCCGGCAGUGAGUCGGCGGGGGAUAAGCUUCGUCGUCGAAAGGGAAACAGCCCAGACCGUCGUCUAAGGUCCCGAAGCGUGUGCUAAGUGGGAAAGGAUGUGGAGUCGCAUAGACAGCCAGGAGGUUGGCUCAGAAGCAGCCACCCUUGAAAGAGUGCGUAACAGCUCACUGGUCUAGUGGUUCCGCGCCGACAAUGUAGCGGGGCUCAAGCACACCACCGAAGACGCGGCAGUAUUUUGUACUGGGUAGGAGAGCGUCCCAUGAGGGGCGAAGCGGCCGUGUGAACGCGCCGUGGACUUCAUGGGAGUGAGAAUGCAGACAUGAGUAGCGAGAGACGGGUGAAGAUCCCGUCCGCUGGAUGACCAAGGGUUCCAGGGCCACGUUCAUCGUCCCUGGGUGAGUCGGGUCCUAAGGCGAGGCCGACAGGCGUAGUCGAAUGGAUGAACGGGUCGAUAUUCCCGUACCGGCUUUCAGCCGCCAAAACCGAGGCUUGGAGUACUAACCUCCGGGUCCGGGCUUACUGCUCCUUCGGGGGCGGGAUGCCCUGGCCUGUUGGGACCGAUCCUUGUAGUAGGUCAGCGCAGGAGUGACGCAGAAGGGUAGCCGGCCGCGGAGGUGGUCUUCCGUGGUCAAGCACGCAGGGCGUGGGACAGGCAAAUCCGUCCCGCAUGGGUCCGAGGUGCGAUGAUGGGGGCCUUAUGGCCCGAUAUCCGGUGAUCCCGGCUGCCGAGAAAAGCUUCGGCGUCAGGCUCGAAGCCGCCCGUACCCCAAACCGACACUGGUGGUCAGGUAGAGAAUACCAAAGCGAUCGAGCGAAUCCUGGUCAAGGAACGGGAGCUUUUGGGGGUGGCACAGACCAGGGGGUAGCGACUGUUUACCAAAAACACAGGUGCAUGCGAAGGCGCAAGCCGCUGUAUAUGCACUGACGCCUGCCCGGUGCCGGAAGGUUAAGAGGAUCCGUCAGCCUUCGGGUGAAGCGGUGAAUUCAAGCCCCGGUAAACGGCGGUGGUAACUAUAACCAUCCUAAGGUAGCGAAAUUCCUUGUCGGGUAAGUUCCGACCUGCACGAAUGGCGUAACGACUUCCCCACUGUCUCGACCAGGAGCUCGGCGAAAUUGCAGUACGAGUAAAGAUGCUCGUUAAGCGCAGAAGGACGAAAAGACCCCGGGACCUUUACUAUACCUUGGUAUUGGCAUUCGGUGUGGAUUGUGUAGCAUAGGCGGGAGGCCGAGAGGCGCGGUCGCCAGAUCGCGCGGAGCCGUAAGGUGAAAUACCGCUCUGUUCGCAUUGGAUGUCUAACCUCGAACAGUCAUCCUGUUCAGGGACAGUGCCUGGCGGGUAGUUUAACUGGGGCGGUUGCCUCCCAAAGAGUAACGGAGGCGCCCAAAGGUCCGCUCAGCCCGGUUGGCAAUCGGGUGGCGAGUGCAAGUGCACAAGCGGGCUUGACUGCGAGGACGACGGUCCGAGCAGGGACGAAAGUCGGGACUAGUGAUCCGGUGCCGGUGUACGGACGCGGCAUCGCUCAACGGAUAAAAGGUACCCCGGGGAUAACAGGCUGAUCAUUCCCAAGAGUCCAUAUCGACGGGAUGGUUUGGCACCUCGAUGUCGGCUCGUCGCAUCCUGGGGCUGGAGCAGGUCCCAAGGGUUCGGCUGUUCGCCGAUUAAAGCGGCACGCGAGCUGGGUUCAGAACGUCGUGAGACAGUUUGGUCUCUAUCCUCUGCGCUCGUUGGAAUGCUGAGGAGGCCUGCCCAUAGUACGAGAGGACCUGGGUGGACGAACCUCUGGUAUGCCGGUUGUCACGCCAGUGGCACGGCCGGUUGGCUACGUUCGGAAGGGAUAACCGCUGAAAGCAUCUAAGCGGGAAGCCUGCUCCAAGAUAAGCAUUCCGUGGAACCUUCGAGUUCCUGUAGUCCCCAUGCAGAACACGUGGUCGAUAGGCCGGACGUGGAAGCCCCGCGAGGGGUGGAGCCGACCGGUACUAACGGACGAAAGGCAACACUAA